GAGCGCAGAAGUUUGCCAGAAAACCGCCGGAAACGGACAGAAAGGAGUCCCUGCGACCGCGUAGCCUCCUGCAGCGCCCCCUGUUGGCAGAGUCGUAGUGAGGCCGAGAUGAGGACUCUGACCCCAGUGCAGUGUCUGUAGGGAAGAGGAGCCAUGGGGCUUCGGGCAGGCCCCAUCCUGCUUCUGCUGCUGUGGCUGCUGCCAGGUGAGGGAUGCGCCUCUGUCUUCUCCUCCCUCCCACCCCCUGCCAGCCUGUGUGCUCCCCUUUGCUCUCUUGCUUUCCAGGGGCCCAUGGGGAUGUGCUGCCUUCAGAAUGCGGCCACUCCAAGGAGGCUGGGAGGAUUGUGGGAGGCCAAGACACCCAGGAAGGAUGCUGGCCAUGGCAGGUUGGCCUGUGGUUGACCUCAGUGGGGCACGUAUGUGGGGGCUCCCUCAUCCACCCACGCUGGGUGCUCACGGCCGCCCACUGCUUCCUGAGGGUGACUCCGGGGGGCCGCUGGUCUGCCCCAUCAAUGAUACGUGGAUCCAGGCCGGCAUUGUGAGCUGGGGAUUCGGCUGUGCCCGGCCUUUCCGGCCUGGUGUCUACACCCAGGUGCUAAGCUACACAGACUGGAUUCAGAGAACCCUGGCUGAAUCUCACUCAGGCAUGUCCGGGGACCGCCCAGGUGCCCCCGGGUCCCACUCAGGCACCUCCAGAUCCCACCUAGUGCUGCCGCUUGAGCUGUUGACCGUAUGCUUGCUUGGGUCCCUGUGAACCAUGAGCCAUGGAGUCUGGGAUCCCCCUUCUGGUAGGAUUGAUGGAAUGUAAUAAUAAAAACUGUAAGUUUUUUUAACGUGUAUUUUA
rnacentral:sRNA from 1 species